rnacentral:lncRNA from 1 species
CAGUAUUUUAUUGAAGAUUUUUGCAUCUAUGCUCAUCAUGGAUAUUGGCCUGAAGUUCUCUUGUCUUGCUGAGUCUCUGCUGGGUUUUGGUAUCAGGAUGAUGUUGGUCUCAUAAAAUGAGUUGGGAAGGAUUCCCUCUUUUUGGCUUGUUUGGAAUAGUUUCAGAAGGAAUGAUACCAGCUCCUCUUUGUAUGUCUGGUAGAAUUUGGCUGUGAACCCAUCUGGACCUGGGCUUUUUUUUUUUUGGUUGGUAGGCUCUUAAUUGCUGCCUCAAUGUCAGCCCUUGUUAUUGGUCUAUUCAGGGUUUCUACUUUUUCCUGGUUUAAGCUUGUGAGGAUGCAAGUGCCCAGAAAUUUAUUUAUUUCUUCCAGGUUUACCAGUUUAUGUGCAUAGAGUUGUUAGUAGUAAUCUCUGAUGGUAGUUUGUAUUUCUGUGGAACCUGUGGUGAUAUCCCCUUAUCGUUUUUUAUUGCAUCUAUUUGAUUAUUCUCUCUUUUCUUUUUUAAUAAUCUGGCUAGUGGUCUAUUUUGUUGAUCUUUUCAAAAAACCAGCUCCUGGAUUUAUUGAUUUUUUGAAGGGUUUUUUGUGUCUCUAUCUCCUUCAGUUCAGCUCUGAUCUUAGUUAUUUCUUGUUGAUCUUUUCAAAAAACCAGCUCUUGGAUUUAUUGAUUUUUUGAAGGGUUUUUCGUGUCUCAAUCUCCUUCAGCUCAGCUCUGAUCUUAGUAAUUUCUUGUCUUCUGCUGGGUUUUGAGUUUUUUUGAUCUUGCUCCUCUAGCUCUUUCAAUUUUGACGAUAGGGUGUCAAUUUUGGAUCUCUCCAUUCUCCUCAUAUGGGCACUUAUUGCUAUAUACUUUCCUCUAGAGACUGCUUUAAAUGUGUCCCAGAGGUUCUGGCACGUUGUGUCUUCGUUCUCAUUGGUUUCGAAGAACUUCUUUAUUUCUGCCUUCAUUUCGUUGUUUACCCAGUCAACAUUCAAGAGCCAGUUGUUCAGUUUCCAUGAAGCUGUGCGGUUCUGGGUCGGUUUCUGAAUUCUGAGUUCUAACUUGAUUGCACUAUGGUCUGAGAGGCUGUUUGUUAUGAUUUCAGUUGUUUUGCAUUUGUUGAGCAGUGCUUUACUUCCAAUUAUGUGGUCAAUUUUAGAGUAGGUGUGAUGUGGUGCUGAGAAGAAUGUGUAUUCUGUGGAUUUGGGGUGGAGAGUUCUGUAUAUGUCCACCAGGUUUGCUUGCUCCAGUUCUGAGUUCAAGCCCUGGGUAUCCUUGUUGAUUUUCUGUCUGGUUGAUCUGUCUAGUAUUGACAGUGGAGUGUUAAAGUCUCCCACUAUUAUUGUGUGGGAGUCUAAGUCCUUCUGUAAGUCAUUAAGAACUUGCCUUAUGUAUCUGGGUGCUCCUGCAUUGGGUCCAUAUAUGUUUAGGAUCGUUAGCUCUUCUUGUUGUAUCGAUCCUUUUACCAUUAUGUAAUGGCCUUCUUUGUCUCUUUUGAUCUUUGUUGCUUUAAAGUCUAUUUUAUCAGAGAUGAGAAUUGCAACUCCUGCUUUUUUUUGCUUUCCAUUAGCUUGGUAAAUCUUCCUCCAUCCCUUUAUUUUGAGCCUUUGUGUAUCCUUGCAUGUGAGAUGGGUUUCCUGGAUACAGCACACUGAUGGGUUUUGGAUUUUUAUCCAAUUUGCCAGUCUGUGUCUUUUGAUUGGUGCAUUUAGUCCAUUUACAUUUAGGGUUAAGAUUGUUAUGUGUGAAUUUGAUACUGCCAUUUUGAUGCUAAGUGGCUGUUUUGCCUGUUAGUUGUUGUAGAUUCUUCAUUAUGUUGAAGCUCUUUAGCAUUCAGUGUGAUUUUGGAAUGGCUGGUACUGAUUGAUCCUUUCUAUGUGUAGUGCCUCUUUUAGGAGCUCUUGUAAAGCAGGCCUGGUGGUGACAAAAUCUCUGAGUACUUGCUUGUUCGCAAAGGAUUUUAUUCUUCCUUCACUUCUGAAGCUCAGUUUGGCUGGAUAUGAAAUUCUGGGUUGAAAGUUCUUUUCUUUAAGAAUGUUGAAUAUUGGCCCCCACUCUCUUCUGGCUUGUAGUGUUUCUGCCGAGAGAUCUGCUGUGAGUCUGAUGGGCUUCCCUUUGUGGGUGACCCGACCUUUCUCUCUGGCUGCCCUUAGUAUUCUCUCCUUUAUUUCAACCCUGUUGAAUCUGACGAUUAUGUGCCUUGGGGUUGCUCUUCUUGCGGAAUAUCUUUGUGGUGUUCUCUGUAUUUCCUGCAAUUGAGUGUUGGCUUGUCUUGCUAGGUGGGGGAAAUUUUCCUGGAUGAUGUCCUGAAGAGUAUUUUCCAGCUGGGAUUCAUUCUCUUCGUCCCCUUCUGGUACACCUAUCAAACGUAGGUUAGGUCUUUUCACAUAGUCCCACAUUUCUUGGAGACUUUGUUCAUUCCUUUUUGCGCUUUUUUCUCUGAUCUUGGUUUCUCGUUUUAUUUCAUUGAGUUGGUCUUCGACUUCAGAUAUUCUUUCUUCUGCUUGGUCAAUUCGGCUAUUGAAACUUGCGUUUGCUUCACGAAGUUCUCGUAUUGUGUUUUUCAGCUCCUUUAAUUCAUUCAUAUUCCUCUCUAAGGUAUCCAUUCUUGUUAUCAUU